CCUAGUUGUAGGCUUGGCCUGCUAUCGCGGAGACCCAUGUCUUUUGAGUACCUUCGUUUCCUCGGCAGGGUCCGCCCGCCGAUUGGACAUUUUAAACCAUUUGCAAGUUGCAACCUAACAUCGUCUGAAAAAAACUUAAUAGUA
rnacentral:misc_RNA from 1 species